rnacentral:rRNA from 1 species
AACGAACGCUGGCGGCGUGGCUAAGGCAUGCAAGUCGUACGGGACCAUGAGGGUAGCAAUAUCAUUGUGGUUCAGUGGCGGACGGGUGAGUAAUACAUGGAUAACGUACCUGGUACACAGGGAUAGCGGCGGGCCCGCAAGGGUCCUUUGCGAAAGUGCCGUUAAUACCUGAUGACGAAUCGGAGUCGCAUGGCUCUGAUUCCAAAGGGUGGGGACCGCAAGGCCUAUCGGACCAGAUCGGUCCAUGUCCUAUCAGCUAGUUGGUGGGGUAACGGCCUACCAAGGCUUCGACGGGUAGCCGGCGUGAGAGCGCGACCGGCCACAUCGGAACUGAGACACUGUCCGGACACCUACGGGUGGCUGCAGCAACGAAUAUUCCGCAAUGGGCGAAAGCCUGACGGAGCGACGCCGCGUGGAGGAUGAAGUCUUUC